GACGAACGCUGGCGGCGUGCUUAACACAUGCAAGUCGAACGGAAAGGCCCUGCUUGCAGGGUGCUCGAGUGGCGAACGGGUGAGUAACACGUGGGUGAUCUGCCCCUUACUUUGGGAUAAGCCUGGGAAACUGGGUCUAAUACUGGAUAGGACCAUGCUGUAGGUGGUGUGGUGGAAAGAUUAGUUUCGGUAAGGGAUGAGCUCGCGGCCUAUCAGCUUGUUGGUGGGGUAAUGGCCUACCAAGGCGUCGACGGGUAGCCGGCCUGAGAGGGUGGACGGCCACAUUGGGACUGAGGAACGGCCCAGACUCCUACGGGAGGCAGCAGUGGGGAAUAGUGCACAAUGGGCGCAAGCCUGAUGCAGCGACGCCGCGUGGGGGAUGACGGCCUUCGGGUUGUAGACUCCUUUCAGCCAUGACGAAGCCCUUGUGGUGACGGUAGUGGUAGAAGAAGCACCGGCUAACUACGUG
rnacentral:rRNA from 1 species